GAAAGUCAUUCGCAAACUUGGGGAAAUUCAAGGACGCAAAACUAUAGGGCCUGUAAAAUGGCAGCCAGUUGCCAAA
rfam:Psychromonas ingrahamii 37, complete genome.